rnacentral:rRNA from 15 species
UUUUAAAUUUUAAUAAACGGCAGUCGUAACUCUAACGAUUCUAAGGUAGCAAAAUUCCUAGUCAAUUAAUUGUUGACCCGCAUGAAUGGCGUAACGACUUUCCAACUGUCUCAAAAAUAGUCUCAGUGAAAUUAAAUUUUGCGUGAAGAUGCGCAAUAAUAAAGAUUAGACGGAAAGACCCUAUAGACCUUUACUAUAAAUUUUCAUUGUUUUAUUUCUUCUUUUGUUUAGCGUAAGUGGUAUUAGCUGUCAUAAAACCUUAACGCAAGUUAACUGAAAAAGCGUCGAAUGAAACACCACCCUAAAGACGAAAUAAAACUCAUUUAAAGUUAAAGUGUAAAUUUUUUAGUUUGAUUGGGGCGAUCGCCUUUUAAAAUGUAACAAAGGUCCACAAAAUAAAGCUUGAAAACAGUAAAAGCGUUUUUAAAAGUGUAAUAGCAAAAGCUUUUUUGACUGUAAGAUAAACAAAUCAAACAGGAAUUUUUUGUUGGUUAUAAUGGUCCGAAAUUUUUUUGUGGAAAUAAUUUCGCUUAUGGAAUAAAAGGUACCUUAGGGAUAACAGGCUUAUAACUUUUUCGAGUUCGUAUCAACAAAGUUGUUUGGCACCUCGAUGUCGGUUCGUC